GUCAAAGUUGGAGGUAUUAAAGGGGCACUUCUUGCUUAUUUGACUAUGUUGCCUUUGUGCCACCCCAGGGUUAUCACACUAUACUUCAAUGUCUUCUGCCCGAUGGUAAAAGUGAAAAAAGACACUGGACAGGGUGUGAGUCAUUCCUAAGUAUUUUCUUUAUUCUGCUGAAACAGCGAAACCUGGUGAUGUCCUUCAAUGGUGUUAGAGGGAACCAAUGGUUUCUUCUGCUGAAUUGAUCAUUCUCUGUAGUGUCUUCCUAUCUGCAGCUGUUAAACCAGCAUACCUUACUGUUAUAGAGUAUGUGAGGAUACUUUUUAUCGUGGGCCAAUAGAAAAAAAUAAUCAGCCGUUGUUCCAUCUGCCGUUUUUCCACAGUACUAUAAGAAAAUGAAGUCUCUGUUGGGCCUUUCUAACCAUCAGGUACGUGUUGUAUUUCCAGGACACAAAAACCCAAGAAUAAUGAAGCACCAAAAGCCAUACGAUGCAAAUUAUUGGUCUCUAUGAGGAAGCUAAUUAAGUGUUUUCAUGUUUGUCCCUAAACAUGGGCUAAGACAUAGGAACCUGAAGUGAUUGGCAGGACUCAAACUUGAAGAAUUUUUGAAAGAUUCAGCUGCUGAAGAAGCCAUCUCCUUCUCCAGGUUGCAAGGCCAGUCCUGCUGGGAAGAAUUACAAUAUUUGACUAAUUCUUCAUUUAUUACACAAAAUACUUCCUCAGGAAGAUGGUGGACUGAAGAUAUGUCUAUGAAUACAGAGCUGAAGAUUACAGCUACAAAAAAGAGCCAAAGAGCAGAUCAGCUUCUUUGACCCUUUGUGGAGAAAGGGAGGAUGUGAGAUCGCCCCUGUUGUUCUCCAUACAUUUGUUUCUUGUGAGAAGACUGCAAGGCAGCAGUUUUCACAGGGUGGAAAACUUGGAUAUGAGGAAAUUUACCAUCUUUCCCCACCCGAAGACAGAGAUUUGAAAGGACACAAAGUUUGUACUUCCUUUGCUAAUGACUUUAGGAAAGUGCCUAUUAACUGCUUUACAGAAGUUUAAAUGAUAUAGUUGGAAACAGCCUGACUGCUUUCAAUCCUUAAUAUAAGAAAAAGAAACCAUAUCUUUAUAAACUAUAAGGAUUGAAAAUAAAGAGCAAGAAGAAAGACAAGGUUUUAGCUACAGAAAGUUUUAAAUGGAUUAAGAGCCCAGAAAAUGUGGAAAUAUUUGAGUUUAAAUAUUAACUUUGAAUAUAUAUUUUUUUAUCAAAUAAAUGCAUUUUGAUGAAUUUUCAACAUUGGAGUUAUAACAAGAUGACCAUUUGUGUAUUCUUCUAAACAAUCUGUUCCCAGAAUAAGAUGU